UGGUGUGGAGCGAGGCAGGGUCCUCGUGGGCAGUGCAAAGAUUGAGCUGGGGGUGGGCAGAGUGGACAGAAUAGGGCAGGGUGCGGAUCCAUAGCCCUACGCAUCCUGGGCCAGGUCUGUGCUGCUUCACGCUGUCGACCUGUGAGUGGUGCCCCGUAUCUGGCAGCCCAGAUCCCUCCCUUUUCCCUACUCCUUUUGACCCUGCACCCAGAGUGGUGGUUGUGAUCUGCUACCGUGACCUCAGCCCUCAUUCCAAACUGUGGCACCAUUCGUUCCACAAACUCCACACCUCUGGCCCAUUAGAGGAAGGAGGUCCCAGAAUAGCUGGGAAAUUACGAAAACAGCCUCACUGCACGGGUUGGUGAAUGCUGUGAUGCGAUUGUAUGAUGGACGGUGAUGUUGAAACCAGUCAGGAAUGACCACCCCAUCCGGAGAGAAAAGCACCAAGGAUUCUCUUUUGUUGAAUUUGUGUUGGCAGAGGAUGUUGCAGAAGCUGUCAACAACAUGUUUGGUCAGAUGAAGACUGGGUGGAGAAGUUUGCUGGGAAGUGGAUAAAGAGGAAGAUGGUUGAGACCUCCCAAAGCAGAAAGCCAGGAGGGAGAAUGAAAGUUCAUGCUUCCAGAGGAGAGGCUGCUGUUUGCCACAUAGGGAAUUUCUGAGAGAAUUUCCACUACCCGCGCACCCAUUUAAAGGACUCAGCUUCAAGAGAAGCAGCUUCCACCGCAUUAUCCCCCAGUUUAUGUGCCAGGGCAGUGAUUUCACAAACCACAGCAGCACCAGGGGCAAGUCCAUCUACAAGAAGAAGUUUGAUGAUGAAAACUUUAUCUUCAAACACACAGGACCA